rnacentral:rRNA from 1 species
CCUUCGGGUACUGGACAGUGGCGCACGGGUGAGUAACGCGUGGGAACCUGCCCUGAGGUACGGGAUAACGGCUGGAAACGGCCGCUAAUACCGUAUGUCCCCUGCGGGGGAAAGAUUUAUCGCCUUGGGAGGGGCCCGCGUCCGAUUAGCUUGUUGGUGAGGUAAUGGCUCACCAAGGCUUCGAUCGGUAGCUGGUCUGAGAGGAUGAUCAGCCACACUGGGACUGAGACACGGCCCAGACUCCUACGGGAGGCAGCAGUGGGGAAUAUUGGACAAUGGGGGCAACCCUGAUCCAGCAAUGCCGCGUGUGUGAUGAAGGCCUUAGGGUUGUAAAGCACUUUCACUGGUGAAGAUGAUGACGGUAGCCAGAGAAGAAGCCCCGGCUAACUCCGUGCCAGCAGCCGCGGUAAUACGGAGGGGGCAAGCGUUGUUCGGAAUUACUGGGCGUAAAGGGCGUGUAGGC